AUUGAACGCUGGCGGCAGGCCUAACACAUGCAAGUCGAGGGGCAUCAUAAAACAAGCUUGCUUGUUUGGUGGCGACCGGCGCACGGGUGCGUAACGCGUAUGCAACCUACCCUGUACUGGGGGAUAGCCCGGAGAAAUUCGGAUUAAGACCCCAUAGUAUUCUUGAAUGGCAUCAUUUGAGGAUUAAAGGUUACGGUACAGGAUGGGCAUGCGUCCUAUUAGCUAGAUGGUGAGGUAACGGCUUACCACGGCAACGAUAGGUAGGGGGCCUGAGAGGGUGGUCCCCCACACUGGUACUGAGACACGGACCAAACUCCUACGGGAGGCAGCAGUGAGGAAUAUUGGUCAAUGGGCGCAAGCCUGAACCAGCCAUGCCGCGUGCAGGAAGACGGUCCUAUGGAUUGUAAACUGCUUUUAUUUGGGAAUAAACCUCUUUACGUGUAGAGAGCUGAAGGUACCAAAUGAAUAAGCACCGGCUAACUCCGUGCCAGCCGCCGCAGUAAAAC
rnacentral:rRNA from 1 species